rnacentral:rRNA from 1 species
GACGAACGCUGGCGGCGUGCCUAAUACAUGCAAGUCGAGCGAAGCGGGGACGGGUGAGUAACACGUGGAUAACCUCCUAUAAGACGGGGAUAACUUCGGGAAACCGGGGCUAAACCGGCGACGUAUAGAUGGGUCCGCGCGGGAUUAGCUAGUUGGUAGGGUAACGGCUUACCAAGGCGACGAUGCGUAGCCGACCUGAGAGGGUGAUCGGCCACACUGGAACUGAGACACGGUCCAGACUCCUACGGGAGGCAGCAGUAGGGAAUCUUCCGCAAUGGGCGAAAGCCUGACGGAGCAAUGCCGCGUGAGUGAUGAAGGUCUUCGGAUCGUAAAACUCUGUUAUUAGGGAAGCGGUACCUACUCAGAAAGCCACGGCUAACUACGUGCCAGCAGCCGCGGUAAUUC